AAUUGAAUGAAUCACACUGAUAAGAACCCCCUAAAGUCAAGCAAAACAUUGUAAAACGUCCAAUCUCAUUUUUCAAAACAUUGAGAAAAACGAGGAUGAAAUCUGCGGUUGGUUUUUCAAUUCCUAUUUCAAACUAAAUCGGCCAAUUGUGAUUAUUAUUGAAAUAAAAUGCUUUAAACUAGAUGUGUUAUGCAUCGUCAUAUUCAAUUUUAUGCUAAAAUGUAAUUAUUCCUGUAAAAUUGAUGAAAAAAUAACAUAGGCCUGAAAAAAACUUAUCAAUAUGCGGGAUUAGAUUAAGCCCUUUGCGUUUUAGAGCCUUUGUAAACAUUGGCGUGUUUCAUUUUCCAUUUUGGCCCUAUGUCAAACGUCCAAACACGACGGCAGGAUUUGUUUGUGUUUUUGUUUUGUUUUUUGGCCUCGUAGGCCAAUCCAAAACAAAUCGCAAUUUCGUGUUUGGCCGUUUGAAUAAAAAAAAUAUUUUCGCUCGUUUUUGUCGAUUUAAUAGUAAAUAUCGCGUUUUUUCUUACAAUUUCUGUUGUACAUCGAGUAUUCCUGCAUUCCAAAUGGAAAGUUCGUGAUAAUUAGAUGAAUAAAGAAGCCCACAAAUUUGGAUAAAAAUGGCCGGUAGGUGCUCCAGGAAAAAGGGUGAGGACAUUUGUGGAAGGAAUAACGUCGUACGAUGCCGACGGAGGCGUUUGUUGCAUUCCGUUAUCGGAGACGUAGAGACCAAGCCGCCAAAUCGCAUGACUAUCUCCGUCGAACCUGUACGUUGCCGACGGGGUCACAACCAGGAGGAAAAGGAGUAAUCAGUGCGAAUGUACUUAUCAACGGGUAGAUUCAUCGGAACUGGUGACAUGGAAUAGCAAAGAAAUGGUAUUCUGUAAUAAAUUUAUGUAAAUGGUUCGUGUUUUA